rnacentral:tRNA from 1 species
GGGAGCAUAACGCAGCGGUGAGCGUACCUGCCUUACAAGCAGGGAGUCGUGAGUUCGAAUCUCUCUGCUCCCA